UUUUUUUAAUGUAAAACCAUUUGUUUAAUUCUAAAUCAAAUCACUUUCACAACAGUGAAAAUUAGUGACUGGUUAAGGUGUGCCACUGUACAUAUCAUCAUUUUCUGACUGGGGUCAGGACCUGGUCUUAGUCCACAAGGGUGGCAGGAGGAGGGUGGAGGCUAAGAACACAGAAAACACACAAAAGAAAGGAAAGCUGCCUUGGCAGAAGGAUGAGGUGGUGAGCUUGCCGAGGGAUGGUGGGAAGGGGGCUCCCUGUUGGGGCCAAGCCAGGAGUCCCAAGUCAGCUCUCCUGACUUACUUAGCUCCUGGCAGAGGGUGAGUGGGGACCUACAAGGUUCAAAAUCAAAUGGCAUUUGGCCUGGCUUUACUAACAGGUUCCCAGAGUGCCUCUGUUGGUUGAGCUCUCCUGGGUUCACUCCAUUUCAUUGAAGAGUCCAAAUGAUUCAUUUUCCUACCCACAACUUUUCAUUAUUCUUCUGGAAACCCAUUUCUGUUGAGUCCAUCUGACUUAAGUCCUCUCUCCCUCCACUAGUUGGGGCCACUGCACUGAGGGGGGUCCCACCAAUUCUCUCUAGAGCAGAGACACUCCAGAGGCCCCUGCAACUUUGGGGAUUUCCAGAAGGUGAUAAAAAGAACACUCUUGAGUGGGUGCCCAGGAAUGUUUAAAAUCUAUCAGGCACACUAUAAAGCUGGUGGUUUCUUCCUACCAAGUGGAUUCGGCAUAUGAACCACCUACUCAAUACUUUAUAUUCUGUCUGUUUAAACACUGAACUCUGGUGUUGACAGGUACAAAGGAGAAGAGAUGGGGACUAUGAAGAGGGGAGGGCUUCCCUCAUCUUCCUCAAGAUCUUUGUUUCCACAAACUAUGCAGUCAUAAUUGAGAAAAAGCAAUAGGUGGGGCUUCCUACCAUUUGUUGGUUAUUGCUGGGGUUAGCCAGGAGCAGUGUGGAUGGCAAAGUAAGAAAGAGGCCCAGAGGAAGCCCAUCUCCCCCCAGCUUUGCGGUCUCCAGAAAGAGGCUGGAUUUGUGGGAUGAAGCCUAGAAGGCAGAGCAAGAACUGUUCCACCAGGUGAACAGUCCUACCUGCUUGGUACCAUACUCCCUCAAUAAGAUUCAGAGGAAGAAGCUUGUGAAACUGAAAAUCAAAUCAAGGUAUUGGGAAGAAUAAUUUCCCCUCGAUUCCACAGGAGGGAAGACCACACAAUAUCAUUGUGCUGGGGCUCCCCAGGCCCUGCCACCUGGCUUUACAAAUCAUCAGGGGUUGCCUGCUUGGCAGUCACAUGCUUCCCUGGUUUUAGCACACAUAAAAGGAGUUUUCAGGGAACUCUAUCAAGCCAUACCAAAAUCAGGGUCACAUGUGGGUUUCCCCUUUCCUUGCCUCUUCAUAAAAGACAACUUGGCUU
rnacentral:lncRNA from 1 species